CUGGCUUGGUUCUCCUCUCCCUGUUUAUUUUGUUCUGUAAGUGUGGAGGGGAUGCAUUCCACAUCUGAGUGCCCGUACCUGGACAGGAUAUCAAGACUGCACCGGCCGAUGAAAUCCAUUUUAAAGGUCAUCCAUCGUGGCUGGAAGGAAACUGACAAGCCCCAGAAGAGCACAGGCUCCGGACGCACAGGCUCAGCGGCCAUGGCUCACGGGCCCAGCCGCUCCGCUGGACUGGGGCACGAACCCGUGUCCCCUGCAUCGGCAGGCGGGCUCUCAACCACUGCUCCACCAGGGAAGCCCUGAAUAAAUAUUUUUAAAAAACU